GGGUGUGUAGCUCAUUGGCAGAGCACUUCACUGAUAAUGAAGUGGUAGAAGGUUCGAUUCCUUCCACACCCA
rfam:Candidatus Sungbacteria bacterium RIFCSPHIGHO2_02_FTLL_47_11 rifcsphigho2_02_scaffold_10948, whole genome shotgun sequence.